rnacentral:rRNA from 1 species
AUGAUUUUGAAUGUCAAAUGUCACACAGGGAAGGGCCUGAACAUGAACUUACUUGGUAAUGCCCAUUUGUGUAGAUCGGUAGCCUGUGGCAUCUAUUUUGUCCAAUCGUCCGCCACGAACAAAUUUUCUUUGUUGGGUGCUGGUGGUUCUACUUCCAAUGUUUUUGUAGGACAUUGCUCGGUUAGUAAUGACUUUGAAUGUAAAGCGUGCUAUGAAGUACAUGAUGCGCUGUGUAGUUCCCUCAAUUACGUGAAGAAGAAGAAUGGCAGCAAAGACUUAUGGUUGAUGCAGAAUUCUGUUGGGGAGAAAAGCAAGUGCAAAGAGGAUGGGGGCUCUACAACAAUCAGUUGCAAGGUUGCUAGUCAUCCAAAUAUGUGUUAG